ensembl:rRNA 5S_rRNA 5S ribosomal RNA
UUUAGCAGCCAUAUCACCCUGCAACUCACAACUGGCAGCCCACUGAAGCUAAGCAGGUGUGAGCCUGGUCAGUACCUGGAUAAGAGACCUCCUGGGAAAAUCUAAGGUUGCUGCUGGAA